CUCCAGGUACGAGAGCAGAACACCUCCCCCUGUCGGAGGAAAACAACACUGCUGAACUUGACCCUUCGGAGGCCCGCUCCUCCUCCCAUCCCUUCUAAAUUUCCGUUGCCAGAGCCGCGGAGCACAUUCCUCUGUGGCUGUGUUGACUGAACAUGCGUGUCUGUGACUGAGCCUGAGAGAGCGGGAUCUCUCUGAGUCUGAGCCUCUGCAGCAGCAGGAAGCGGCCGCCACAGUGCAGGGUGCAGAUUUACGUGCCGUGGCCGCAGAUGGAGUAGUCCGGAGAUGGGAGGGGUUCACGGGCAGCUCGAAGCAGAGAGGCUGAGCUCGGCUUCUCAAUUUAACUAACUCUGAACCAGAUUGGGAAAGCUUUUCAUCCACCACGCCAUUCUAGGUAAGAGAACCGAGUGACCUGAUAA